CAGCAGCCGCGGUAAAACGGAGGGUGCAAGCGUCGUCCGGAUUUAUUGGGUUUAAAGGGUGCGUAGGCGGCUAUUUAAGUCAGCGGUGAAAGACUCCGGCUCAACCGGAGCAGUGCCAUUGAUACUGGAUAGCUUGAGUGUUGGAGGGGUACAUGGAAUUGAUGGUGUAGCGGUGAAAUGCAUAGAUACCAUCAGGAACACCGAUAGCGAAGGCAUUGUACUGGCCAACAACUGACGCUGAGGCACGAAAGCAUGGGGAGCGAACAGGAUUAGAUACCCCUGUAGUCCCUGUCUCUUAUAC
rnacentral:rRNA from 1 species